rnacentral:rRNA from 1 species
AAGGAUCAUUGUCGAUGCCUAAACAUCAAACGACCCGUGAACGUGUUUUCAAACCUUUUGUGUCGGGGGGAGCAUUCGUGCCCCCUUUGAUGCCUAAACCAAAACCGGCGCAAGUCGCGCCAAGGAGCUCAAACGAAUAAGCUUGCCCCUUGCCCCGGUCUCGGUGUGCGGGGGGCAAAGCAUUCUUGUCGUAUUAUUCACAACGACUCUCGGCAACGGAUAUCUCGGCUCUCGCAUCGAUGAAGAACGUAGCGAAAUGCGAUACUUGGUGUGAAUUGCAGGAUCCCGCGAACCACCGAGUCUUUGAACGCAAGUUGCGCCCGGAGCCUUCUGGCCGAGGGCACGUCUGCCUGGGCGUCACGCAUCGCUGCCCCCCACAUACAACACCCACUUAGGUCUGUUGCAUUGGCGGGGGCACAUGUUGGCCUCCCGUGCGCACUGUCGCACGGAUGGCUUAAAAUUGAGUCCUCGGCAUCUGUUGUCGUGACACUACGGUGGUUGAUUCAACCUCGGUACCGUGUCUCGAUCUCAGCUUGCGUGCCUCCUCUUUGUGAGUGAGGGAGGAAUCUUAUGUUGACCCUUUGAUCAUUGUCCCCAAAGAUGAUGCUCUCGACGCGACCCCAGGUCAGGCGGGACUACCCGCUGAGUUUAA